CACUAGAAAGCUAAAUUAGGGGACAAGCGUUAGCCUUUUAAGCUAAAGACUGGUGGCUCCCAACCACCUCUAGUGA
rnacentral:tRNA from 1 species